CCUACGGGAGGCAGCAGUGGGGGAUAUUGCACAAUGGGGGAAACCCUGAUGCAGCGACGCCGCGUGUGGGAAGACGGUCCUCUGGAUUGUAAACCCCUGUCAUGUGGGAGCAAAUUAAAAAGAUAGUACCACAAGAGGAAGAGACGGCUAACUCUGUGCCAGCAGCCGCGGUAAUACAGAGGUCUCAAGCGUUGUUCGGAAUCACUUGGCGUAAAGCGUGCGUAGGCUGUUUCGUAAGUCGUGUGUGAAAGGCGCGGGCUCAACCCGCGGACGGCACAUGAUAAUGGGAGACUAGAGUAAUGGAGGGGGAACCGGAAUGCUCGGUGUAGCAGUGAAAUGCGUAGAUAUCGAGAGGAACACUCGUGGCGAAGGCGGGUUCCUGGACAUUAACUGACGCGGAGGCACGAAGGCCAGGGGAGCGAAAGGGAUUAGAUACCCGAGUAGUC
rnacentral:rRNA from 1 species